rnacentral:rRNA from 1 species
GACGAACGCUGGCGGCGUGCUUAACACAUGCAAGUCGAACGGAAAGGCCCUGCUUUUGUGGGGUGCUCGAGUGGCGAACGGGUGAGUAACACGUGAGUAACCUGCCCUUGACUUUGGGAUAACUUCAGGAAACUGGGGCUAAUAACGGAUAGGAGCUCCUGCUGCAUGGUGGGGGUUGGAAAUUUUCGGCGGUUGGGGAUGGACGCGCGGCUUAUCAGCUUGUUGGUGGGGUAGUGGCUUACCAAGGGUUCGACGGGUAGCCGGCCUGAGUGGGUGACCGGACACAUGGACACUACGAUACGGCCCAGACUCCUACGGGAGUCAGAGGUGGGGAAUUUUGCACAAUGGGCGGAAGCCUGAUGCAGCAACGCCGGGUGCGGGAUGACUGCCUUCGGGUUGUAAACCGCUUUCGCCUGUGACGAAGCGUGAGUGACGGUAAUGGGUCAAAAAGCACCGGCUUACUACGUG